rnacentral:rRNA from 1 species
GACGAACGCUGGCGGCGUGCUUAACACAUGCAAGUCGAACGGAAAGGCCCUGCUUUUGUGGGGUGCUCGAGUGGCGAACGGGGGAGAAUCACGUGAGUAACCUGCCCUUGACUUUGGGAUAACUUCAGGAAACUGGGGCUAAUACCUGAUAUGAUCUCCUGCUGCAUGGUGGGGGUUGGAGAGUUUCGGCGGUUGGGGAUGGACGCGCGGCUCAUCAGCUUGUUGGUGAGGUAGUGGCUUACCAAGGCUUUGACGGGUAGCCGGCCUGAGAGGGUGACCGGGCACAUAAGGACUGAGAUACGACCCAGACUCCUACGGGAGGCAGCAGUGGGAAAUAUAGCAAGAUGGGCGGAAGCAUGAUGCAGCAACGCCGCGUGCGGGAUGACUGCCUGUGGGUUGUAAACCGCUUGCGCCUGUGACGAAGCGUAAGUGACGGUAAUGGGUAAAGAAGCACCGGCUAACUACGUG